rnacentral:lncRNA from 1 species
AAGGAGGAGUUGACAGGAAGGCCUCGCCUGUGUCUUGUCCAAUAUUCCCAGCAGAAUAGGCCCACUGGAGCCCAGAGGUAGCUACAGCCUAUCUGGUGAGCUUCCCCAGGGGGCUCAGGACUGGUGGGAUGGGAUGAUGGGCCCCUCAGUGUCUAUAUAGGGUGGGAUGGUGGGCCCCUCAGUGUCUAUAUAGAUAGCAAGUGUCCUCAUCAUGCUCUUCACCAAAACAACCGUCACCAGGAAGCAGCAAGCAGAGGCCACUCAUGGGGGACUGGGGCCUACGGUUUUCUCAAAAUGUCCUUAAACCAGAGCCAGUCCUGUCGUGCAAAGCUGAGGCUCCAAGGUAGGGAGGUAGCCACAGGAGGCCUGGGCCAUUCAUUUCUCUUUUAAAGACAAUGGCCUCCUGCUGCUUCCUCAGCCUUAUGGUUCCAAUAAAGAGUCCUUGAUCGAUUGCACAACCUCUGUUCCCUAUUGCCAAAUGUCCCCAAAGCCAGACUGAGAAACAGCCUGCCCGCUGCCCCCAUAAAGUGCUAUUUCACAUGCCCUGACCCAAUCCUAGACUAGAAAGAGGCCCCCUUGAUUCCACUCCCGCAGCCUGGGGUAAGAGCAGACCACGAGAAGUGCACUGUAGUCCAGCUCCCAAUGGCUACAAUUAUAAAAUUAAAUGGUAUAACUUGCAUGAUGGCUGCAAAUCUCCAUGGCUGGCCAUUUCUUCCUGCUGCCAGGCCCCUUGGCACAGUUGACAUUGUCUCAAAUUCCAGACCAGAAAAAAAGGGCCCACUAUAUUGCAGUGAUUUUAUCAUUAACGAGACCUGUUUGGCUCCAAAAUGAGGAAAAACACUUAAGCAUAAUAUUUAUGUAGUUCAAAUGCAAUGGCCCCUCUUGUCAUGUGUCACCAAGGCAAAUCUGGACUCUGAUUCAGCGCUCCAGCCCACAACAGGAGACUUGAACGCAAACAGCCUGAGUCACGCAGGCUCAGCAUGCAUGUGGGAGGCCUGUUCUUGGCUGCGUAUUUUAAGCACCGGCUUUGUGGAUGAAAGGCCAUGGGGCCAGGUCUUGCAGCAACCCCCAUCAUCCCUUUCCCUCAGAAGUAUGAAAAUGUCUUUUUUCUAGAGCGCUCUGUGUUGGUCAGCCAUGGUGUGACUCAGUGCCUCUGGAUGAAGCCUUCCUUAGCUCCUCCCUCCUCUUAUCUCUGCCAUAGAUCCUUGGCUUCCUGAUGAUCAAACUGAAAAAUCUGCAGUUUUCUUGCAGAAAAACAAACAAUUCCAAUGGAACAACCAUUCAAAACAUAAUAACUCAGCCCUUUAACCUCCUACCACAGUCUAAUGCCUGGCAUUACGAGUUGGGGUAAAGAAGAAGGCAGGAACAAUGAUUGUGGAGAGCUCUAUCUGCCUCAGAAAUAAUGCCAGUCGGCAAAGGCUGCCGGCAGGUUUUGUGCUCAUUUCAAAACUUCACAUUCCUCAGGCACUUAGUGGCAUUUUUGAAGAACACUGUGUCAAGGACAGUGGGUGACCCAGGAGAGUGAUGUGAGCGAGGUCAUUCUGAAUACACAGCACUUGACGUGGUAGAGUCUACAGCCACAGCUUGGAAAAACAGCUCUUGGCAGUUGUGUCUCUCUUAGCCAGCAAGCGUGGGGACCUGUGCCACGGAGACACCCAACAGGAAUCAUCAUUCCAGGUUUUGUCACUGAUGGGCAAUAUGGAGAGAAUGUAAAAAUAUCUAACUUCAAACAGAAAAAAGAAACAACUGGAAUGAAAAGCUAUAAACAAUAGGUAAGGAAACACAAACAUUUACAUUUUAACACAGACCAAACAGGCAAGAAGGGACUUGCUGGCCAAAGAUAUCUCAUAUUUUGUUUUACUUCUCUGUUUUUAAAGUAUCAGGAAGUUGGGCCAAAUAUCAACUCUCUUCUAUAUUACAUGGACCUCCCAAUACUGUUCUUGGCUAGCCUGUUCACGGUCCAAACUGGCAUUUUAAACCAAUUCUAAUUAGGUUGAAAUUACAGUUACAAUUCAUUUACUUCAAAUCCGUUAACCUUCCAGUGUUGCAAAGAAGGCUGUGGAGUGGAACACAGAAUUCAGCUGAGAUGAUAUUUAAGGCAUAGCUAGGGACUGUGAUCUUGCCGACAAAAAUAUUACUUAUUUCCUUUUUAUGAAAAGAAUAUUACCAUCAGAAUCCAAGACCUCCGAACUUCCCUGCUGAAGGCACGUUUACGUCUUUGGACUCUGGUGUACCAGGGCCUGAACAAGCUAUAACACCAUGGUAUUACCAAAUACAUCCUAAGUCAUCAAAACAGCUUUUUAGGCUAAUUCUGUAAGUACAGCAAAACACACAGCAAACUUAAGGUUUUCUUAGUAGUAAAAAACAUGUAUCUCUCAUACUGUAAAAAAUAAAGGUGUUCCAUGGGAGGGAAGGAGUAGGGGGAGAACAGGUUGGGGCUCAAAAUAAGCAAGUAGGGUUAUUGUAAUCUAUUUUAAAGAAAAUUCAUAAUUUUAAAUCUCUCUUUAGUUCAGAAGAUUGACGUAGAGGAUUUACCUACAGAACUUCAGGAGAUUCCUAAGAAGGCCUUCAGUGAUCUUUUCAUCAAUAUCAUCAGGCCUUAUCAUUGUUUCACAUUUGCUUCUCUUUACCAUAGGGAAUAUAAUAAUUAUUUACUGGUUAACUUCCUAGGGAGAUUGCCUGCGGCUUAUUUAAGAUCCAAAUUUUAAAGUAAUAAUUUCUGUUGAAGCUGCUUGUGAGGUGGUUGGGUGGGCAGAUAGAGUGAAGCCAGGGACACACACUAAAUGAGCCCGGGAUGUAGGCAGGUUUUGAUGUUUUGCUUGCUUUUAUCCCUAACAUUUUAUCCCUUCACGUUUACUGUCUCACUGAACAUUUUGUCUACUCUUCUAGUUAUGCAGUGAGCAGGUCUCCUCCAGGAAGAAGCCUCUUUUUAUGAGGAUUGGGGUGGUGACAGACAAUAAUCAAAUGGUCUGAUUUCUCUGCUAUCCUUUCCUUUCCCCUAAAUGUUCUCAGGGGAUCUGCUUGAACUUUUUUCAAGAGCUCUGUAUUUGGAUUUUUAGUAGCCUAUAGAUUAUCACUCAAUAAAACAAAUUAAUUGUUUUUAAGUGAAUUGCCAAAAGUCAUUUUAAAAAGGAAACUCUAUGGUUAUUAUGGUUUCUGCUAGAAAGAAUUCUGACAGCUCAUAAAAGCAAUAUGUAUAAUUUUUCAUUUUUUAGAAGAAAAUAAAUACUUUCAUGUAAUGGCUUGA